rnacentral:tRNA from 1 species
UGGUAGUUAGUUUAAACAAAACAAGUGAUUUCGACUCACUAGAUCAUGAUAAUAUUCAUUACUGCUAA